AGCAUUGUUCAGCUGGCCAGGAGCCAAACCCCAGCCGCACGCAUUGUGUAACCUGCACUCUCGGCUCUUUCUCCACCAAGGAAGCUCUGGGAUGCCAGCCCUGUCCAGCAGGCCAUUAUUGUCCGCACAUUGGUACCAUCCAGCCUCUCCCUUGCCCACCUGGUUCCUGCACUGAUGCCCCUGGGAAGAGUGAGUGCCAAAGGUGCAAUGAAAGUUCCUGCUGUUUGGAUACUGUGGGUCAGAUUCAACAGGACCGUGAACCCGUUGAAUCACCAGAAGGCCUGCAAUGCCAACCAUGCCCAUCAGGUCACUUUUGCGCUGAUGGAUUUACAGCCCCUCCAUGCCCAGCAGGGAGCUUUGAGCCCCGAGAGCAGUUCUGCAAACCCAGCGAUGGCUCCUCAUGCUUGCCAGG